UCGANCGGCAGCGCGGGGCAACCUGGCGGCGAGUGGCGAACGGGUGNGNNNNNUAUCGGAACGUGCCCUGGAGUGGGGGAUAACGCAGCGAAAGUUGCGCUAAUACCGCAUACGAUCUAAGGAUGAAAGCGGGGGAUUCGCAAGAACCUCGUGCUCCUGGAGCGGCCGAUAUCUGAUUAGCUAGUUGGUGGGGUAAAGGCCUACCAAGGCAUCGAUCAGUAGCUGGUCUGAGAGGACGACCAGCCACACUGGAACUGAGACACGGUCCAGACUCCUACGGGAGGCAGCAGUGGGGAAUUUUGGACAAUGGGCGAAAGCCUGAUCCAGCAAUGCCGCGUGAGUGAAGAAGGCCUUCGGGUUGUAAAGCUCUUUUGUCAGGGAAGAAACGGUGAAGGCUAAUAUCCUUUGCUAAUGACGGUACCUGAAGAAUAAGCACCGGCUAACUACGUGCCAGCAGCCGCGGUAAUACGUAGGGUGCAAGCGUUAAUCGGAAUUACUGGGCGUAAAGCGUGCGCAGGCGGUUUUGUAAGUCUGUCGUGAAAUCCCCGGGCUCAACCUGGGAAUUGCGAUGGAGACUGCAAGGCUAGAAUCUGGCAGAGGGGGGUAGAAUUCCACGUGUAGCAGUGAAAUGCGUAGAGAUGUGGAGGAACACCGAUGGCGAAGGCAGCCCCCUGGGUCAAGAUUGACGCUCAUGCACGAAAGCGUGGGGAACAAACAGGAUUAGAUACCCUGGUAGUCCACGCCCUAAACGAUGUCUACUAGUUGUCGGGUUUUAAUUAACUUGGUAACGCAGCUAACGCGUGAAGUAGACCGCCUGGGGAGUACGGUCGCAAGAUUAAAACUCAAAGGAAUUGACGGGGACCCGCACAAGCGGUGGNUGAUGUGGAUUAAUUCGAUGCAACGCGAAAAA
rnacentral:rRNA from 1 species